rnacentral:rRNA from 1 species
UACGUAGGGUGCAAGCGUUGUCCGGAAUUAUUGGGCGUAAAGAGCUCGUAGGCGGUCUGUCGCGUCUGCUGUGAAAACUCAGGGCUUAACCCUGAGCUUGCAGUGGGUACGGGCAGACUAGAGUGCGGUAGGGGAGACUGGAAUUCCUGGUGUAGCGGUGAAAUGCGCAGAUAUCAGGAAGAAUAUCCGUGGCGAAGGCGGCUCUCUGGUACGGCACUGACGCUGAGACGCGAAAGCGUGGGGAGCGAACAGG